rnacentral:rRNA from 1 species
CGAACGGGUGAGUAAUACAUCGGAACGUGCCCAGUCGUGGGGGAUAACUACUCGAAAGAGUAGCUAAUACCGCAUACGAUCUGAGGAUGAAAGCGGGGGACCUUCGGGCCUCGCGCGAUUGGAGCGGCCGAUGGCAGAUUAGGUAGUUGGUGGGAUAAAAGCUUACCAAGCCGACGAUCUGUAGCUGGUCUGAGAGGACGACCAGCCACACUGGGACUGAGACACGGCCUAGACUCCUACGGGAGGCAGCAGGU